CUAGAUCACAAGUAAAGCAUAUCCCACCCGUAGGGCAGGCCGACCCUAGUAUAUAUAUAUAAAGGAGAAGAGAAUCUCUUCUCAUGCUGCCACUUCAUCAUGCUCUUCCCUCAGCCCUCCACGUCAACACCCUUCCAAGCUUUUUCGGCAUUUGAUUUCGUGGAUAGCCGAAGUGGGCCUCAAGCGUAAGUUGGCCCAGUAUUUGGUUCGCUUUAUUUUUAAUGUUUCGUUACUGUCUAAUAGGCUGGAUAAGCUUUGGAACUAUUGCACACAAAAAAAAAAGCUUUGGAACUAAUACUUCAGCCUGAGACCACCAUCGUAGGAAACCGUCGCUCCGGCUCCACUUUCAGGAGCUAUUUAUUACGGCAUUCAACAAAAAUUUCCCACUACUUGAUCUUCGAUUCAACUUCCAUAGCUUCUACACCACUUCCACAAGGUUAUAUAUACACCAACAACGAUUCAUCCCCAUUCCCCACAUAUUUUUGUCUCCCACUUUCACUUUUGUUCCAUUAAAGGAUCAACCAUCCCCAGAAAUUAAAAAGUUCAGAGCUUUACAAAUCUAUCAGGAGUUAAGAUUUCAUCAAUGGAGGAAAUAUCUCCGGCGGUUUCUUUGCCUUUCCCAGAAACCCAGAUGGAAUUCGCAGGGAUCAUGGGAAUCAUGUUGCGUAAAGGCUACUGCUACAGCCAAUACUCAACUCAAGAUUCCCACAGCGUCGAUUCGUUUCCGUAUACUUCGUGUUCUGUUUCUGGGUCUCAUGUAGCUCAAUAUAGAGAGAGAUCUACGUUUCAGAAGAAGAUGAUCAGCGAACAGAGAGCAGGAGUCUGUUUGACUUCAAGAUUGUGCCUUAGAAGGCUGUGACAUCGAUGACGACCAGAGAAGGAAGAUGAUGUCUCCACUAUACCCAGAAUUCUUCGAUCUCCAACUAAUUCGUUAAUACAUGGUCGUUUCAAUCCUCAAUCAACUGCUCAUUUCUUUGGUGUCUACAACAGCCCUGGAGGAUCACAGGUAACGAACUAUUGUAGAGAGAGGAAAAGCUAGGAAUAAGUACAUUAAGGAGAGUGUUGACUUUGGGUCCAUGUCCACAGAUCAGGAACUAAUACACGGACUUUAACAAUACAUAUUUCAGGGAAGCGAGCCCGACAAGUUAAGAAGCAUUUGCGCAAAGAAAGCAGCAAACUCGAUUCCCCAAGGCAUGUUUUUGAUGGAAUACUUCUUCGUGACCAUCUGAUAACAACCAUAAUCCCUGCAUUGCCUCACUAUUUGUUUUUCUCUUAAGCAGCAGUGUAGUCUCAUUCUCUCAAAAUGAUAGGACAAAGCAGCUAGGCCGACAAUAAAUUGACCAAGUGAGAAGAGAACACACCAACAUGUCUAAUGUCAGAUUGUCAGUCCGUGAGUCAAUGUAACGCUCCCUUCACCGUACUUUUUCGCAGCAGCAUUAAACCGCUCCUUCUUUUUCUGCAUCAAAGCAAUAAGCUCAUGCUAAUGGCAAUAAAAAGACAUUAAAAUUUAUUACAAAGGAUAAGUUAAACAUGUGAAGCUAUGAGAAACCUUAAGUUACUUGCA